AGUCUACUGAAAGGGGCAGGAAUGCAAGUGUCUUUGGAAGUGGCAGAUCCAUUCAACAAUGAAGAAGGUGUUGUAACGUGGUGGUCGUGUAUAGAGCAAUUUUAUCAAACAAGCUGAAACAAAGUAAAGCGCAGAAACUUGGCAUCAAGACAAAAUCCACUCACCAGCUACCUGCACCAUACAAGCGACAAUAACCAACCACACAGCACAAGCAGAGGACACAUAAUAAGACGAGGGGAAUCAGAGCGGGUAAGAAGGGGAAAGAGCGGUUACACUACCC